CAAACGACUCUCGGCAACGGAUAUCUGGGCUCUGAUGAGAAGAAGAGGAAAUGCGAUACUUGGUGUGAAUUGCAGAAUCCCGUGAACCAUCGAGUCUUUGAACGCAAGUUGCGCCCGAAGCCAUUAGGCCGAGGGCACGUCUGCCUGGGCGUCACGC
rnacentral:rRNA from 1 species